CCAACAUGUUUUUUUUUGUAGCAAAUUGUUUGCAAUGAAACUUACAGGGAAAGGAUGUGCAACUUUUUUUUUUCUGCGACUGAGCCCUCGCAGGAAGCUGAACAUGUUCCUCAGCCUGUGGAAGAACAACAACAAAUUUGGUAGAAGUAAAAAGCAAAGAGCUUACCGUUAAAAGCUUCAACUUCAGUGUUGGAUGACAGGUCACUUCACCAGGCAGUCACAGACAACAGUUUCCUCAUCACUGUUGAUAGUCACCAGUCAUCAUGAGGAGAGCGUGGACCGGUGUGUCGUGACCCUGGAAAACAAAGACAUCCGUGAAUCAAACCUUUAUACCCAACAUGGUUUUUUUGUAGCAAAUUUUUUGCAAUGAAACUUACAGGGAAAGGAUGUGCAACUUGUUUUUCCUGCAACUGAGGCCUCGCAGGAAGCUGAAGAUGUUCCUCAGCCUGUGGAAGAACAACAACAUGUUUUGGGCAGAGAAAAGUCACGAUUGUGGAGAGCAUACCAAAGUUGGCUCCUCAAAUUCAUCCCCCACUUUGGUUGUCCUUCAGCUGAGGAAGAGGAGCGCACCAGGAUGAGAGGAAGGCCUGGACCUGAAGCCAGCCUGCAUGCAGAGUCAAAACCAAAAAGCAGCGUGUCAAACCCAGCAGACGUGGCGACAGGAGAGCCUCGUACAUCUUGUUUCUCUCGCAGCUCUGCAUGACGUCAACAAGAAGCAGUCAAGACUGCACACAAAAAGCAGGAUGUGAGGAGUGGUUGCUGCAAGUCAUCCUCCUUCAGAAGAUUGCCUUUAACACAGAUGAGUAUGCAGUAGGAAAAUAGUAAACGGAGGCCAGAAUUUCUAAAACAAAAGACAUCUGUUAAGGUUUUGCCAUACAGCACAUUUGACAAGAGAUGAAACCCACCAGCAAUGAAGAGGAUGUGACUUGUUUCUCUCUGGGACUUUGUCCAAGCGCUCACAGGAAGCGGAGCAUGAAGGAAGGAAAAACAUUUGAACAACAUUGUGAUGAUUGUUCAGUGUAUUCACAGAGUGGACUGUCAAGUGUGUGUGGACACCACUGCAAACAUCUCAAACUUGUCCAACUCCUCAGGCUGCUCCACUGUUUGGCUUCAGCAUCUUCUGAUGUGGUCAUCCAGCUGAGGAAGAGAUGACAACAUGCAAGGCAAGAAAACAAGUGAGAUCAACAAAUACUUACGUUGUAAUUUGCAUUUAUUUCUCCUGCAUAUUAAAAUAAAUUGAACUUGAGCCGACUGAAGCCGCAAUGACAGUUUCCUCAUUGCUGAUGACCAUCACCAUCAAGACGAGCGCGUCGACCAAUGUGUCGUGACCUCCCUGAAGAAGCCAAAAAGACCGCAUUGAGGACCACCUGCAUAGUCACGUAGAACUGUUUUUCCCCAGCAGGUGCAGGAUCUUGGGCCAAGGUAGUUCUCUGCCACAAUGGAACUUGUCCUGGAAUCCACCCUGCAUGCAGAAUUUGGUGACGGUCAGCCUUUUACACGAUCUUGUCACUCACCCAACGCUGGAUGAAGUCAAAAGGAUGUCCAUCUUUGACGCAGAUCAUGUCAGACCUUGAAGCAGGAAAUCUGCUUCACUCGUCGGUCCAAGCCCAAGAUACUUUUGCGCCACCUAGUGGACAUGACCGAAGAGUAGUGAAGAGUGUUCAAACCCAGCGAGGGCCAGCUCCAGCCUCGAAGUCCAGCAUCUCAGUCCUCAGGCAGCGCCGCUUAAAGUGGAGGUUGCACACAGAAGCAGGAUGUAAGGAAUGUUUGCUGCAAAGGCACAAUCUUUUACCAUCACCGUUGGAGAUUAAUGCAUUUUGGGUGUUGUGACAUGUUCCCACCUUAAUGUCAUCACAGGAAUAAAUCUGUUCGCUUUUGCCACAUGGUAGCUCAUCAUUUGCUGAAACAAAUUGAUAUAGUUUUCAUGUGUACCAGUGUGCAUGUCUCACCAGUGAUGAGAGCAGGGUACACCGGGCUCGCUAAACAAGAAAGACACAGUAACAUAAUUAGCAACGUGACAUUUGGUAAGCAUGUGUAUACAAAGUUGAGCUGCAAUAAAAACCUCAAGGCGUCAUGCUGUGAAAGAUACAGAAAGUCUCUUCGAAGUAGAUCUUUCAGAAUCAGUUUGGCCGCUUAAGACGGAAGCCUGUGGACAGAAAUUAGACAAUUAUGAACACACACAUAUAUAGGUACAGUUGUUAUAAUUCGGUUUAAUUGAGAAUAUGGCAACCUACCUCCCACGAAACGGCGCUCCUCUCCAGAUGUUGGAAAGGGUUGGAGCCAAUACUUUCAUGAUCAAGUGCAAUGCAUUUAUGCAUUUAUUUA